ACAUGAAUUUAAAAUUGUUUACAAAAAAGAAAAUACUACUUAAUACUUAAUAAUUAACAGGAAAGAUGUCAAGAAAUCUUGUUAGGUUGAAGAUAUCACAGAUAGACAUAUCUCUACAAUCACUAUUUUAACAUGUAUUUUAUACUCGUAUGAUCCCCCAAAUAUAUAUAGUGGUUGAUCAAAUCCUGGUGGGCUUAACCUAGAUAUCAUCAUAUAUUAUUUAUUAUGUUCUCUUUCAAGCAUAGUGAUGACCUGGUAUUUCACCAGAUUCCUUCUUUUUAAUUUCCUUCCAACAACCGGCAAGAAAUCAACAAGAUCUUGUACUCAACCUUCAUGAUCAUGGAGGCCACUACAAAUAUUCCACUCACCAAAGCUCGGAAACUGCACGGAGUUCAGUCACCUUCAUCUAAACCUAAUUCAGGAACAACUGAUCAAAUGAUAGUAAAGAUGAGCAUACACAAAGAAAAUUGGCUCAUAGGAAAGACAACGAAGGCGUGAUAUGGCUGAGCUUUAUGCUACACUUAGGGGUCUACUUCCCCUUAAUUAUGUUAAGGGAAAGCGGUCUACAUCGGAUCAAAUGCAUCAGGCAGUGAGUUACAUCAAACACAUGAAAGAAAAAAAUCAAAGUCUUGGGUGACAAGAGAGACCGGCUCAAGAAAUUUGUGGAGGCAGGUGAAGCCACAAAUACUGAGAAAGAAAAGCAAAUGAAUUUGCUUCCUAAUACCGUCAAUUACCAACCAUGAUUGACUUGCUUUGCUUGCACCCUAUUAUGUAUUGGUGGUGUUUUGUGCAAUAGGCUAUUGUACCUUAUGCUUAAAUGGUGCUUGAUUUACAACUUUCUUUUGCAAUCCAUGUCAUCUGACACGCGUUUUGUUGAGUGUGUUUACCAUAGUUGGCUUGCUUUGGUUGUACGUUAUGCAUUUAUGUUGUUUUGUGUAAUAGGCUUUUGUAUCUUAUGCAAAAUUGUUUGUUUAAACUA